rnacentral:rRNA from 1 species
CGCAAGUAGUGAGGAAGGCGGGGAUGACGUCGAAAUCAGCACGGCCCUUACGUCCAGGGCUACACACGUGCUACAAUGGCCGAUACAGCGGGAAGCGAGGCAGUGAUGCCGAGCGGAUCCCUUAAAGCCGGUCUCAGUUCGGAUUGAAGUCUGCAACUCGACUUCAUGAAGCUGGAAUCGCUAGUAAUCGCAGAUCAGCCAAGCUGCGGUGAAUACGUUCCCGGGCCUU